rnacentral:misc_RNA from 1 species
GUGAAUCUUCAAGCGAUCUUGCCAUACGAUGAGUAAGUUGGACUAUCAAUCAAAUUAAAUGUAUGUAUCAAAAAAUCACCAACUAAACUUGAAUUUCUCAUUCACCAAUUAGAAAAUUCUUGAAUUGGCCCACCUUAUUCCGUUAACUCUUACCACCAUGGUUUGGUGGCUCAACCUUAAAACCUCUCCAACGCAAUUUUUCGGGUUUCUAUGAGGAAAUUUGCGAAAGGGACAAAUGUCAAAUUCUGUGUUUUGGUUGAGAUUUGAUACGUGGUGAAGUUGAAGAGGUGUGGUAUAUGAAUGGCUAAGAUGUUGGUGCGAUAGGAAGGAGGGAUAGAGAAAAGCA